UGAAUGGAGUCCGCGGUUGCUACAAGAUAGAAGGCGAAUGUUCCCUGAAUUCUCAGAAAUUGGUGACAUUUGAUGGUCUGACCGGAGGACCUAUCGGAAAUGGCCCAGUAGAGGUGGCGUCUCUGUGCAGUGACAAGUCUACCAGUUGGUUCAGAGUCAUCGCUGAUAUCCAGAGUUGUGGAAAGACGGCAGCAUCAGUGGCAAGAGUUCAUGUCUUCCUCGAUGGCGCUCUGGUGACCAUCUCUAAAGACAAGGAAGUAUGGGUGAAUGGGCGUUUGGGCCGUUUCCCCAUUGGGUCUGGUAUUUUGUCGGCCAAUGUUGCGGAGACCUCUGUUAUUAUCCAGCUUGGCGUUGACUUGAGAAUUGAGUUGAACAAUAGUGGGAAUCUUGUUCUCCGCAUCUCCGAAAAAUUGUCCAAAGCGGUUUGUGGAGCAUGUGGAAACUUUAAUGGAGACACUUCUGAUGACCUCCAGGCUCCAACAGGAAAGGCCGUCACCGAUGUUUUACAGCUCAUAACAUCUUGGAAAGCGCGAGACCUAACCAGCUGUAAUGCAUAAAGAACAGAAAAAAACUAGAAGUUUCCAGAAACCGACCUAAAGAUUGUAUAGAUCGUCGCCCCUCAUAAAAGCCACAAUUGCUGCAUUACUUCUUAAGGACUGUCCAAUGGAAUUACAGGACACAACAAGAAAAACUGCAGAAAACGUCGUCCAUAUAUCAGGACUAGAAGACGCACAGAAUAGAGAUGCUUAGAUUUGGUGAAUUAGUGGAAUAUUCUGAAUUGUCCACUCUAACACAGAUGCAAUUCCAAUGGUUUAUGGGGUCAAUAAAAUUUUAU